AUUGAACGCUGGCGGCAGGCCUAACACAUGCAAGUCGAGCGGAUGAAGGGAGCUUGCUCCUGGAUUCAGCGGCGGACGGGUGAGUAAUGCCUAGGAAUCUGCCUGGUAGUGGGGGAUAACGUCCGGACACGGGCGCUAAUACCGCAUACGUCCUGAGGGAGAAAGUGGGGGAUCUUCGGACCUCACGCUAUCAGAUGGGCCUAGGUCGGAUUAGCUAGUUGGUGGGGUAAAGGCCUACCAAGGCGACGAUCCGUAACUGGUCUGAGAGGAUGAUCAGUCACACUGGAACUGAGACACGGUCCAGACUCCUACGGGAGGCAGCAGUAGGGAAUAUUGGACAAUGGGCGAAAGCCUGAUCCAGCCAUGCCGCGUGUGUGAAGAAGGUCUUCGGAUUGUAAAGCACUUUAAGUUGGGAGGAAGGGAAGUAAGUUAAUACCUUGCUGUUUUGACGUUACCAACAGAAUAAGCACCGGCUAACUUCGUG
rnacentral:rRNA from 1 species